AGUGAACGCUGGCGGUAGGCCUAACACAUGCAAGUCGAACGGCAGCGCAGUAAGAGCUUGCUCUUACGGGUGGCGAGUGGCGGACGGGUGAGGAAUACAUCGGAAUCUACUUUUUCGUGGGGGAUAACGUAGGGAAACUUACGCUAAUACCGCAUACGACCUACGGGUGAAAGCAGGGGAUCUUCGGACCUUGCGCGAUUGAAUGAGCCGAUGUCGGAUUAGCUAGUUGGCGGGGUAAAGGCCCACCAAGGCGACGAUCCGUAGCUGGUCUGAGAGGAUGAUCAGCCACACUGGAACUGAGACACGGUCCAGACUCCUACGGGAGGCAGCAGUGGGGAAUAUUGGACAAUGGGCGCAAGCCUGAUCCAGCCAUACCGCGUGAGUGAAGAAGGCCUUCGGGUUGUAAAGCCCUUUUGUUGGGAAAGAAAAGCAGCAGGUUAAUACCUCGCUGUUCUGACGGUACCCAAAGAAUAAGCACCGGCUAACUUCGUG
rnacentral:rRNA from 1 species